GUGGAUGAUGACCACUCCAUCCCACUGAAUGUGAUGAGUGCACGUCAGGCUGACA
rnacentral:snoRNA from 1 species